ensembl:lncRNA
GUCCCCUCCUCACUCUCUUGCUCUCUUGCUCUUGCCCUCUCCCCCUUCCCCAAUCCCCUUCCCUCCACGUGCUCAUGGCCGACCUUUACUCCUCUUCUACCCUUCUCUCAUUAACCCUCUCCACUUGGCAACCAUGUUGGCCUGGUGUGGUUUGUCCAGUCGCGAGCCGAGAUUUCUGCCCCAACAAAGACACUUGCUCUCCUGUUCUAUUCCUUCACGACUGUUACAGUUUGGAUCUUUAAAAUUUGUUUUGUUUUAUGUAAAUGGGUAUUUAGAUUGCGUGUUUGUCCGCGCAUCGUUUGCAUGCCUGCUGACCUUUUGAAACCAGAAGAGGGUGUUGGAGUCCCUGGAAUUUAAGUUACAGAAGGUUGUGAGCCACCAAGUGGGUGUCGGGAAGUGGAAACGAGUCUGGAAGAGCAGCCACUGAGCCACUCUAGUCCAUGCAGUUUGCAUCUUGAACGGCCCUGCAAAGUACUGAAGACUUGGUCCCCAGAUGAUGUCACUAGGAAGGGCUUUGGCACCUUCCUAGUUCAAGGAGAGCCUACUGCAGAACCCAGAGAAUGGAACGAGUAAAUGUUUAUGCAUAUGGACUUAGCGUUCACAGUACACCGUGAGCCUUUGAAUUCCCAGAAGAACACGCUAUCCCUGGAACUGAGAACCUGACUCAGGAGUGGCACGCUGUGGACAAGCAGGAGACGUCAUUCCAACCUGACAGACUGUCAUGAGAAUUAAGUGAAGAAAUCUGGAGCAGUAGGUCCAGGACCCUGCACACACAUCUCGUUAGAAUUGUCAUGUGCAGGGUCUUGGAAAAUAGCCAAGUGUUCAUGGUUUUCUUCUUGGAUCCUCACCGUAAUCUCAGGAGGCAGGCAGGUCCGACCAGAAGAAUUAAAGUCAUUUAAGAUUAUGUGGAUGAUCAUCAUGGGGGCUGGAAUCCGUCUUGCAGGUGUGUGCUGGAGUGUAAACAGCUGGAGUGUAAACAGCUGGAGGCCUGAGCUUGGGUUGAAUUCCUAUCUUUGCUCUGCCAUGAGCUAGCCCUGUGCUCCUGUGCAGAUCCUGUCUGUGUGCAUCAUGGGUAUUUCCUGUCUUACAGGUCAGUUGUGAGGAGUGGAUGAGCUAGUGCUAAUUAGACAUCCAGCAGAGCAUCCAGUGGGUGCUCAAUAAACGUUCAUGCCCA